GAGUCCCUACGGGGGGCAGCAGUGGGGGAUAUUGCACAAUGGGCGCAAGCCUGAACGAGCGAUGCCGCGUGAGCGAAGAAGGCCUUCGGGUCGUAAAGCUCUGUUGCGGGGGAAAAAAGGCAGCAUCAGGAAAUGGGUGCUGACUGAUGGUGCCCCGCCAGAAAGUCACGGCUAACUACGUGCCAGCAGCCGCGGUAAUACGUAGGUGGCGAGCGUUAUCCGGAAUGAUUGGGCGUAAAGGGUGCGCAGGCGGUCCUGCAAGUCUGGAGUGAAACGCA
rnacentral:rRNA from 1 species